rnacentral:rRNA from 1 species
GACGAACGCUGGCGGCGUGCUUAACACAUGCAAGUCGAACGGAAAGGCCCUGCUUUUGUGGGGUGCUCGAGUGGCGAACGGGUGAGUAACACGUGAGUAACCUGCCCUUGACUUUGGGAUAACUUCAGGAAACUGGGGCUAAUACCGGAUAGGAGCUCCUGCUGCAUGGUGGGGGUUGGAAAGUUUCGGCGGUUGGGGAUGGACUCGCGGCUUAUCAGCUUGUUGGUGGGGUAGUGGCUUACCAAGGCUUUGACCGGUAGCCGGCCUGGGAGGGUGACUGGGCCCAUUGGGACUGGGAUACGGCCCAGACUCCUACGGGAGACAGCAGUGGGGAAUAUUGCACAAUGGGCGGAAGCCUAAUGCAGCAACGCCGCGUGCGGGAUAACGGCCUUCGGGCUGUAAACCGCUUUCGCCUGUGACGAAGCGUGAGUGACGGUAAUGGGUAAAGAAGCACCGGCUAACUACGUG